rnacentral:rRNA from 1 species
GACGAACGCUGGCGGCGUGCCUAAUACAUGCAAGUCGAACGCAGUGGGGACGGGUGAGUAACACGUUGGUAACCUCCCAUCAGAGGGGAUAACACUUGGAAACAGGUGCUAAACCGAUACUGAUGGAUGGACACGCGGUGCAUUAGCCAGUUGGUGAGGUAACGGCUCACCAAGGCCACGCUGCAUAGGCGACCGUAGCGGGUGGUAGGCCACACUGGGACUGAGACAAGGCCCAGACUCCAACGGGAGGCAGCAGUAGUGAAUCUUCGGCAAUGGACGAAAGUCGGACCGGGCAACGCCGCGUGAGUGAAGGAGGUUUUCGGAUCGGAAAUCUCUGUUGUUAGAGAAGCGGUAUCUAACCAGAAAGCCACGGCUAACUACGUGCCAGCAGCCGCGGUAAUAC